rnacentral:rRNA from 1 species
GUAUCAUGGCUCAGGAUGAACGCUAGCUACAGGCUUAACACAUGCAAGUCGAGGGGCAGCAUGAACUUAGCUUGCUAAGUUUGAUGGCGACCGGCGCACGGGUGAGUAACGCGUAUCCAACCUACCCUUGUCCAUCGGAUAACCCGUCGAAAGGCGGCCUAACACGAUAUGCGGUUCACCGCAGGCAUCUAACGUGAACGAAAUGUGAAAGGAGAAGGAUGGGGAUGCGUCUGAUUAG